GACGAACGCUGGCGGCGUGCUUAACACAUGCAAGUCGAACGAUGAAGCCGGAGCUUGCUCUGGUGAAUUAGUGGCGAACGGGUGAGUAACACGUGAGUAACCUGCCCUUGACUCUGGGAUAACUGCGGGAAACUGUAGCUAAUACCGGAUACGACCCUCGGAGGCAUCUCCUGGGGGUGGAAAGAAUUUCGGUCAAGGAUGGACUCGCGGCCUAUCAGCUAGUUGGUGAGGUAAAGGCUCACCAAGGCGACGACGGGUAGCCGGCCUGAGAGGGCGACCGGCCACACGGGGACUGAGACACGGCCCAGACUCCUACGGGAGGCAGCAGUGGUGAAUAUUGCACAAUGGGCGCAAGCCUGAUGCAGCAACGCCGCGUGAGGGAUGACGGCCUUCGGGUUGUAAACCUCUUUUAGCAGGGAAGAAGCGAAAGUGACGGUACCUGCAGAAAAAGCACCGGCUAACUACGUGCCAGCAGCCGCGGUAA
rnacentral:rRNA from 1 species